rnacentral:rRNA from 1 species
GCAAAACAGCUAGCCUUAACACAUCAAAUAAACAACCAAUCAUGUAUAUAAAAACAAAACACACCUAAAAUAAAACAUUCUUCCACCAAAGUAUAGGCGAUAGAAAAGGACCCCAAGAGCUAUAGAAAAAGUACCGCAAGGGAAAGCUGAAAGAGAAAUGAAAAAACCCAUACAAGCAAUAAAAAGCAGAGAUCAACCCUCGUACCUUUUGCAUCAUGGUUUAGCAAGAACAAUUCAAGCAAAGCGCCCUUUAGUUUGAAACCCCGAAACUAGACGAGCUACUCCGGGGCAGUCUUUUAGGACCAACCCGUCUCUGUGGCAAAAGAGUGGGAAGACCCCCGAGUAGAGGUGAUAAGCCUACCGAGCCUAGUUAUAGCUGGUUGCUUAAGAAAUGAAUGUUAGUUCAGCCUUAUAUAAUUCUAAAACCAAAUCACAUAAAGAACAAAGCAAUAUAUAAGAGUUAGUCAAAGGGGGUACAGCCCCUUUGAAACAGAACACAACCUUACCAGGAGGACAAGGAUCAUACACACCAAAGGACACACUUCCUCAGUGGGCCCAAAAGCAGCCACCUGUACAGAAAGCGUUAAAGCUCAGGAAGAACCAAACCAACAAUAAAGAUAAUAUAUCCCCAUCCCCUAAUAAUAUUAAGCCAAUCUAUACAUUUAUAGAAGAAAUAAUGCUAAAAUUAGUAAUAAGAGAGUCUCAGACUCUCUCCCGGCACACGUGUAAGUCAGAUCGGACAAACCACUGACAAAUAACGGACCCAAAACAAGAGGGUAAUACAACAAACACAACAAACAAGAAAAGCUUGUAUAGCCAAUAACCGUUAACCCAACACAGGAGUGCCCCAAGGAAAGACUAAAAGGAGAAGAAGGAACUCGGCAAACACGAACCCCGCCUGUUUACCAAAAACAUCGCCUCUUGCUAAAAAAGAAGUAUUAGAGGUCCCGCCUGCCCUGUGACCACAGUGUUUAACGGCCGCGGUAUCCUGACCGUGCGAAGGUAGCGUAAUCACUUGUCUUUUAAAUGAAGACCUGUAUGAAUGGCAUCACGAAGGUUCAACUGUCUCCUUCCCCCAGUCAAUGAAAUUGAUCUGCCCGUGCAGAAGCGGACAUAAAAACAUAAGACGAGAAGACCCUGUGGAGCUUUAGGCCAAGGAUCAAACAUGUAAAACAGACUCAAACCCUAAAAAGAAUAAUAAAAGUCCAAAAACCAAGAGUAACCUGAUCCUAAUGCCUUCGGUUGGGGCGACCGCGGGGGAAAAUAAAGCCCCCACAUGGAAUGGAACUACUUCCUAAACCAAGAGUUACAACUCUAAGUAACAGAAUUUCUGACCACCUAUGACCCAGGACAAACAUAAACCUGAUCAAUGAACCAAGUUACCCCAGGGAUAACAGCGCAAUCCUUUCCCAGAGUCCAUAUCGACGAAAGGGUUUACGACCUCGAUGUUGGAUCAGGACAUCCUAAUGGUGCAGCCGCUAUUAAGGGUUCGUUUGUUCAACGAUUAAUAGUCCUACGUGAUCUGAGUUCAGACCGGAGUAAUCCAGGUCGGUUUCUAUCUAUGAAACUACUUCUUCCCAGUACGAAAGGAUCGGAAAAAGGGGGCCCAUACUAAAAGCAAGCCCCACCUCUACCUUAUGAAAACAAAUAAAAAAGAUAAAGAGGAGUAAUUAACAGCCAGAGAUAAUGGCAU